rnacentral:tRNA from 4 species
GGGCCCUUAGCUCAGUUGGUAGAGCGGUCGGCUCAUAACCGAUUGGUCGCAGGUUCGAGUCCUGCAGGGCCCACCA